AACGAACGCUGGCGGCAUGCCUAACACAUGCAAGUCGAACGAGACCUUCGGGUCUAGUGUCGCACGGGUGCGUAACGCGUGGGAACCUGCCCUUAGGUUAGGAAUCACUCCCCGAAAGGGGUGCUAAUACCGGAUAAUGUCUUCGGACCAAAGAUUUAUCGUCUUUGGAUGGGCCCUCGUUGGAUUCGCUUGUUGGAAGGGUAAAAGCCUACCAAGGCGACGAUCCAUAGCUGGUCUGAGAGGAUGAUCAGCCACACUGGGACUGAGACACGGCCCAGACUCCUACGGAAGGCAGCAGUGGGGAAUAUUGGACGAUGGGCGAGAGCCUGAGCCAGCAAUGCCGCGUGAGUGAUGAAGGCCUUAGGGUUGUAAAGCUCUUUUACCCGGGAUGAUAAUGACGGUACCGGGAGAAUAAGCUCCGGCUAACUCCGUG
rnacentral:rRNA from 1 species